rnacentral:rRNA from 1 species
AGUGAACGCUGGCGGUAGGCCUAACACAUGCAAGUCGAACGGAAGCACAGUAAGAGCUUGCUCUUACGGGUGGCGAAUGGCGGGCGGGUGAGGAAUACAUCGGAAUCUACUUUUUCGUGGGGGUUCACGUAGGGAGACUUACGAUAAUACCGCAUCCGCUCUACGGGUGAAAGCAUGGGAACUUCGGACCUUGCGCGGAUGAAUGAGCCGCUGCCGGAUUUGCUGGUUGGGGGGGUGAAGGCCCACCAAGGCGACGAUCCGUAGCCGGUCUGGGAGGAUGAUCAGCCACACUGGAACUUGGACACGGUCCAGGCGCCUACGAGAGGCAGCAGUGGGGAAUAUGGGACAGUGGGCGCAAGCCUUAUCCAACCAUACCGCGUGUGUGAAGAAGGCCUUCGGGUUGUAAUGCCCGUUUGUUGGGUAAGAAAAGCAUCAGGUUAAUACCCCGCUGUUCUGACGGUACCCAAUGAAGAAGCACCGGCUAACUUCGUG